UUCUUUUGGAGUGAGGUUUAGGAAAGGGGAGAUAGAAUCAAUGUCUAAGAGAUAGAAUAUAGAAGAGAGUAGGUGAGACUUAGGUUGAAGCCGAUUUUUAAAGGUACUUUAAUUAUAUUUAGAGAUGAGAGCGAGAGAGAGAGAGAGGGAGAGGGAGGAAAGAGACAAAUUGAAAGGACAAGCCCUUGGGAUGUAAAAUGGAGAGAUUUUAGGGAAAGGGAGAAGUGAUGGGUGCAAUACAUUUGUUGAUUAGGAACUAAAGUCGAGUGCGGUAAGUUAUAAAUUUUAGUUUACAUUGGUCAUCUUUUGGGCGAUUUAAUUUGAAUCAGAAUACACACGCAUUUCCAAGUUAAUUAGUAUCUAAGAAAAAUAUAUUAUCUAUUUAUUUUUUAUCAAAACUCCUCUAAUAGUAACACUCGUCAAACUGCAAAAGGCCUUGCAAUAGACGAAUGCACAAAUUAAAGAGGCUUAGUACAUAGUACUUGUUUUUAAAAUUGGCUUAGAUUUAUUGCCUUUUCAUUUUUCCUGGUUGAUGAUCAAUUAUUCUUUCUUUUGUUUGUGACUAAGUAGAUAGGAAAAUGUGGAUCAUAAAGGAUUGGAAUUUUAUUUUUUUCCAUGGUUUCUAAGGAAAUGAAUGUAAAACCCUUGAGAGCCUCAACUUUAGCAACUGGUUUAGGCAAUAAUGUACUUAUGUCUUGGUUUAAACACAUGCCCAUUCUUUAGAUAUAGUUGAUUGUGAAGUUUCUGGCAUAUUUUCUUUAUUUCAACUAAAACCUUGACAUUUUGGGUGUUGAAAAUGGUUUUUCUUAUCUCUUUUGAAGAGUGAUGUGUAUGAAUUUUAAAUUGAAAGCUACAAGGAUUGAUUUUCUAAUACUUAUGGGUAACUGUUAAGACUUACGAACUUUUUAUUGUAGUAAUCACAUUGACAAAGUUGGUGAAAUUUUUUGUGUGAUUGCCAUCUAGCUGGACUCUAAAAGUUGCACGAGUGCCUGAAUUCUCAUUCUAGAGGUAAUUAUUGAACUGAAGAAGAUAUUGUGUCUCAUUUUUGUCCAAGAUGCCCUUUUGUAGGGAUUGUACUUUCUAUUCAAAUUUAGUUAUCUCUUGCAUUAUUUGUGAAAUUCAUUUAUGUUUGGAGCUCAAUUUUACUGAACUUGUACCUGAAUUGACGUUUGAUAUUCAAACCAGCAAUCUUUUCGGGAGAUGUGCAACUAUGUAGUGGAAGACCCUAAACCACUAUUCUUCAAGCUACUAUCAAACCAUUUCAGGCUAGUUAUGUCACUUUUUCUGUUCUAUGAUGUGACUCAAUAUUUCUAAUGGGCAAUCUCAAUACUGAUUGUGACAUACAUGACCAGAUUGAUUUCAAGUUAAUUAAACCUUGGUAAUGCACAUUCCAUAAUAUUGCUUUAUAGCAUGUUAAUCAUAUUUCUCUCUCGAACUCUAAUUUACGUGGGGAACAAAAUGUCUUCUGAACUAGGGAAUGUGAGGAAGGGGCUGUAGUCAAGAUAAAGAGGAAGGUAGGUAGUGACAGUGGUGUUGAUUGCAUGGUUGCGUGAGAAAUUUCAAGCUUGGUCAUGGAACGAGGUAUUGCUUGCUUGGAUCACCAUGAUUUGACAUUCAUUUGGUGAGGUCUAAAAUGCAUGGACAGACGGUUUGUGGGAAUAGAAAGAUGCUUUUUUCUUUUUGGUGGUGGAGGAGGAACGGACAAUGAUGCUGUAAGGGUAGCGAACCAAAAGGCUAGGUUGUGGAUGGUAAGGUUAGGGAAUGCUGCAGGUUGGGUGGGAGGAAAGGUUAGGUUGUGGUUGGGGAGCUUUUGAAACGCUUGCAAUGGCCUUAUUAAUCAUUUGAUAAAAAAUGAAUGACAAAACCAAUUCAAUUAUUAAUUUUUCUGUUAUUUAUCAAUAUCCUCAUAUACAUAUUUUGAUAGAACCAAAUGAGUUGGUCAAUCAUUAUAUCUAGCUGUUGUCAACAAGCAUAUAUGUUGGUAACAAAUAUUCAUCAAUUUGUAUCAAUGUAUACUUGGAGAUUGGGCGGCUUUGGCAAAACUUAAGGCUAUUUAGUUCUCUUUUCCAACCUGAGCUUGUUUAAUAAUGCUUUUUGUGUUUUAUGAUUCUAGUUUUUUCUUCGGCCUCUAGGAUGGUGUUAUAACUUACUGAUAGAAAAUAUACAUUGUUUACAAUCUUGUUUGCUCUAUUGUUUUGUGUAAGCAAUUAACUGUAGUGAAGCUGGACUUGGACAUUGUUUACAAUCUUAUUUGCUCUAUUGUUUGCUCUACAUUUUUUUUUUUUAAAUAUAGCACUUCUAUUUUUUUUGUUGCUUUAUCAUUUCGAAAUUUGAGGUGGUCUUUAGAUUUGUUUUUGAAUCCUUCUAUUGAUUUGGUAAUUUAACAUCGGGUUUUGGAGAGGGUGCUUAAAAUUGUUUCUGUACGCUCUUAGUAGAAUUCCAACAUUUUCAUGACAGCUUCUAUUCCAAAUUAUGUAGGAAAGAAUAAUAAGAAAAACAUGGCUACCCACACUGUAACAAGUGUCUGCUUCAGAUCUGUUCCUAAAAUGUUGGACAGUCUACGUUUGUUUUUUUUUUAAAGUAUUCCAAAUGUAUAUAAAUAUAGAAACAAUGCUUUGAAAGCAUGGGAUUUGUAAUAAUGGGGUCAAC
rnacentral:lncRNA from 1 species